GGGGAAUUUUGGACAAUGGGGGCAACCCUGAUCCAGCCAUUCCGCGUGAGUGAAGAAGGCCUUCGGGUUGUAAAGCUCUUUCGGCAGGAACGAAACGGUCUCUCCUAAUACGAGUGGCUAAUGACGGUACCUGAAGAAGAAGCACCGGCUAACUACGUGCCAGCAGCCGCGGUAAUACGUAGGGUGCGAGCGUUAAUCGGAAUUACUGGGCGUAAAGCGUGCGCAGGCGGCUCUAUAAGACAGAUGUGAAAUCCCCGGGCUCAACCUGGGAACUGCGUUUGUGACUGUAGGGCUCGAGUGUGGCAGAGGGGGGUGGAAUUCCACGUGUAGCAGUGAAAUGCGUAGAGAUGCGGAGGAACACCGAUGGCGAAGGCAGCCCCCUGGGUCAACACUGACGCUCAUGCACGAAAGCGUGGGUAGCAAAC
rnacentral:rRNA from 1 species